rnacentral:rRNA from 1 species
UACAGAGGUCUCAAGCGUUGUUCGGAAUCACUGGGCGUAAAGGGUGCGUAGGCCGCACGGUAAGUCAGAGGUGAAAUCCCGGAGCUCAACUUCGGAAUUGCCUCCGAUACUGCCGUGCUUGAGGACUGGAGAGGAGAUUGGAAUUCACAGUGGAGCAGUGAAAUGCGUAGAUAUUGUGAGGAACACUAGUGGCGAAGGCGGCUCACUGGACUGGUACUGACGCUGAUGCGCGAAAGCGUGGGGAGCAAACAGG